rnacentral:rRNA from 1 species
UGCGCUCCUUGGUAUUCCGAGGAGCAUGCCUGUUUGAGUGUCAUGAAUCUCUCAAUACUAGAGCUUGUUAAUUCAAGCACUAGUCAUUGGACUUGGGAGCUUGCCGGCCUAGUCGGCUCUCCUUGAAUGCAUUAGCUUGGACCUUUUUCACGAGGAUCCCCGGUGUGAUAAUUAUCUACGCCGUCAGAGAAUCGUGUGGCGCGUGCUACCCUGCUUUAUUGCAGCUGCUGUAGCCGCGGGGGGGCGAGCUUAUAAUCGUCUUCGGACAACUAUUAUGACAUCUGACCUCAAAUCAGGUAGGACUACCCGCUGAACUUAAGCAUAUCAAUAAGCGGAGGAAAAGAAACUAACAAGGAUUCCCCUAGUAACUGCGAGUGAAGCGGGAAAAGCUCAAAUUUAAAAUCUGGUGGUCUUAGGCCAUCCGAGUUGUAGUCUAGAGAAGCGUUUUCCGUGCUGGACCGUGUAAAAGUCUCUUGGAAUAGAGCAUCAUAGAGGGUGAGAAUCCCGUCUUUGACACGGACUGCCAGUGCUUUGUGAUGCGCUCUCGAAGAGUCGCGUUGUUUGGGAAUGCAGCGCAAAAUGGGUGGUAUAUUCCAUCUAAAGCUAAAUAUUGGCGAGAGACCGAUAGCGAACAAGUACCGUGAGGGAAAGAUGAAAAGCACUUUGGAAAGAGAGUUAAACAGUACGUGAAAUUGUUGAAAGGGAAACGCUUGAAGUCAGUCGCGUCUGCCAGGACUCAGCCUUGCUCUUUUGCUUGGUGUAUUUUCUGGUAGACGGGCCAGCAUCGAUUUCGGCCGUUGGAUAAGGUUCUAGGGAAUGUGGCACCUCCGGGUGUGUUAUAGCCCUGGUUCACAUACAACGGCUGGGAUCGAGGACCGCAGCACG